UCAAUGCCUCUUCCUUAUGGGGAAAACUGA
rnacentral:piRNA from 1 species